rnacentral:lncRNA from 1 species
CCAGGCUCCAGGAGGGUGACUCUGAGGAUUCUCCAGGAUGGUCUCCAGGGUCCAAGAAAACAAGACAAGGGCCAGAGAACUAAGGCUGGAGCGUUUGGGACCCAUCCUAGGUACACAGCUGCCCUGUCACAGCACAGAACCUACCACGUGCCACGUCAGCAGCCAGCACUUGAGCGCAACCUUCUGAAGACGGCGCACAGCCAACAGUCUCCUCAAGGUACACCGGAGACCAACCACAGGCUGGCUUUCAAGCUGCUUUCACCUCUGGCUUAUCUGUGUGCUGACCUGCUUCCCAAGGCUCCCAGCUAUUGGCAGCACUUGGCCCAGGGUUAUAGGAGAGAACAAAGCCAGCCAAAGCGCUGCCCUGGGAAGUGUACAACACAACAAGAAA